GCCCUUUUAGCACAGUGGUAGUGCGCGUCACUCGUACCAUUCGAAAAUGACGAGGUCCUCGGUUCAAUCCCGAGAGGGGGCA